rnacentral:rRNA from 1 species
CUAUCACUUUUGGAUGGYCCCGCGGCGUAUUAKCUAKAUGGUGGGGUAACGGCUCACCAUGGCAAUGAUACGUACCCGACCUGAGAGGGUAAUCGGCCACAUUGGGACUGAGACACGGCCCAAACUCCUACGGGAGGCAGCAGUAGGGAAUCUUCCACAAUGGACGAAAGUCUGAUGGAGCAACGCCGCGUGAGUGAAGAAGGGUUUCGGCUCGUAAAACUCUGUUGUUAAAGAAGAACAUAUCUGAGAGUAACUGUUCAGGUAUUGACGGUAUUUAACCAGAAAGCCACGGCUAACUACGUGCCAGCAGCCGCGGUAAUACGUAGGUGGCAAGCGUUGUCCGGAUUUAUUGGGCGUAAAGCGAGCGCAGGCGGUUUUUUAAGUCUGAUGUGAAAGCCUUCGGCUCAACCGAAGAAGUGCAUCGGAAACUGGGAAACUUGAGUGCAGAAGAGGACAGUGGAACUCCAUGUGUAGCGGUGAAAUGCGUAUAUAUAUGGAASAACACCAGUGGCGAAGGCGGCUGUCUGGUUCUGUAACUGACGCUGAGGCUCGAAAGUAUGGGUAGCAAACAGGAUUAGAUACCCUGGUAGUCCAUACCGUAAACGAUGAAUGCUAAGUGUUGGAGGGUUUCCGCCCUUCAGUGCUGCAGCUAACGCAUUAAGCAUUCCGCCUGGGGAGUACGGCCGCAAGGCUGAAACUCAAAGGAAUUGACGGGGGCCCGCACAAGCGGUGGAGCAUGUGGUUUAAUUCGAAGCUACGCGAAGAACCUUACCAGGUCUUGACAUACUAUGCAAAUCUAAGAGAUUAGACGUUCCCUUCGGGGACAUGGAUACAGGUGGUGCAUGGUUGUCGUCAGCUCGUGUCGUGAGAUGUUGGGUUAAGUCCCGCAACGAGCGCAACCCUUAUUAUCAGUUGCCAGCAUUAAGUUGGGCACUCUGGUGAGACUGCCGGUGACAAACCGGAGGAAGGUGGGGAUGACGUCAAAUCAUCAUGCCCCUUAUGACCUGGGCUACACACGUGCUACAAUGGAUGGUACAACGAGUUGCGAAC